rnacentral:rRNA from 1 species
GUCGAGAAUCUUCCGCAAUGCGCGAAAGCGUGACGGAGCGACACCGCGUGAUGGAUGAAGUCCUUCGGGGCGUAAACAUCUUUUAUAAAGGAGGAAAUUUUUGACGUUACUUUAUGAAUAAGGGGCUCCCAAUCUCGUGCCAGCAGGAGCGGUAAUACGAUAGCCUCAAGCGUUAUCCGGAAUCAUUGGGCGUAAAGGGUGCGUAGGUGGUUUGAUUAGUCUCCCGUUAAAACUUCGAGCUUAACUCGAAAAGAGCGGGGGAAACGGUCAAACUAGAGUAUGUGAGAGGUGUGUGGAACUCAUGGUGUAGGGGUGAAAUCCGUUGAUAUCAUGGGGAACACCAAAAGCGAAGGCAGCACACUGGCACAUCACUGACACUGAGGCACGAAACCUAAGGUAGCGAAUGGGAUUAGAAACCCCUGUAGUCC